rnacentral:misc_RNA from 1 species
GAAAUGCGAUAACUAAUGUGAAUUGCAGAAUUCAGUGAAUCAUCGAGUCUUUGAACACACAUUGCGCCCCCUGGUAUUCCGGGGGGCAUGCCUGUCCGAGCGUCAUUGCUGCCCUCAAGCCCGGCUUGUGUGUUGGGUCGCCGUCCCCCUCUCCGGGGGGACGGGCCCGAAAGGCAGCGGCGGCACCGCGUCCGAUCCUCGAGCGUAUGGGGCUUUGUCACAUGCUCUGUAGGAUUGGCCGGCGCCUGCCGACGUUUUCCAACCAUUCUUUCCAGGUUGACCUCGGAUCAGGUAGGGAUACCCGCUGAACUUAAGC